UGAAGUACGUACUUGUUACUGGUGGUGGUGUUAGUGGUCUGGGAAAAGGGGUUACCGCUAGCAGUAUCAGUCUUCUUCUUAAAUCUUGCGGCUUUCGUGUCACUUCCAUUAAGAUUGAUCCUUAUCUCAAUACUGAUGCGGGUACAAUGUCCC